rnacentral:rRNA from 1 species
AUUGAACGCUGGCGGCAUGCUUUACACAUGCAAGUCGAACGGUAACAGGCCGCAAGGUGCCGACGAGUGGCGAACGGGUGAGUAAUGCAUCGGAACGUGCCCAGUCGUGGGGGUUAACUACUCGAAAGAGUAGCUAAUACCGCAUACGAUCUAUGGAUGAAAGCGGGGGACCGUAAGGCCUCGUGCGAUUGGAGCGGCCGAUGUCAGAUGAGGUAGUUGGUGGGGUAAAGGCCCACCAAGCCAACGAUCUGUAGCUGGUCUGAGAGGACGACCAGCCACACUGGAACUGAGACACGGCCCAGACUCCUACGGGAGGCAGCAGUGGGGAAUUUUGGACAAUGGGCGCAAGCCUGAUCCAGCAAUGCCGCGUGCAGGAAGAAGGCCUUCGGGUUGUAAACUGCUUUUGUACGGAACGAAACGGCUCUGGUUAAUACCCGGCGCUAAUGACGGUACCGUAAGAAUAAGCACCGGCUAACUACGUG